rnacentral:tRNA from 1 species
GGAGAGAUGGCCGAGUAGGCUUAAGGCACUCGCCUGCUAAGCGAGUGAGGGAGUAAAAUCCUUCCGUGGGUUCAAAUCCCACUCUCUCCGCCA